rnacentral:rRNA from 1 species
CGAAGGUUGCAAGCGUUACUCGGAAUUACUAGGCGUAAAGGGCAGGUAGGUGGUUUGGUAAGUCUGUUGUGAAAGCUCCUGGCUUAACUGGGAGAGGUCAAUAGAUACUGCCGAACUUGAGUAUAGGAGAGGUUACUGGAAUUCCCGGUGUAGCGGUGAAAUGCGCAGAGAUCGGGAGGAACACCAAUGGCGAAAGCAGGUAACUGGACUAUUACUGACGCUAAGCUGCGAAAGCUAGGGGAGCAAACAGGAUUAGAUACCCUGGUAGUCCUAGCCGUAAACGAUGCACAUUAGACGUGAGGGGUAUCGACCCCCUUCGUGUCGACGCUAACGCAUUAAAUGUGCCGCCUGGGGAGUACGGCCGCAAGGUUG